CUACCCCCAAGGUGCUGGGCAUACUUGCCCCCCUGUGCAACACACUAACACACUCAAUACACAUGGACACACUUACACACUCAAUACACACACGGACUUACACACACAAUAUACACACGGACACACACACUCAAUACACACACGGAGACACACAAACGGACACACUCAAUACACACACUGACACACACACACUGACACACACACGGAUAUACACACUCAAUACACACACGGAGACACACAAACGGACACACUCAAUACACACACUGACACACACACACUGACACACACACGGAUAUACACACACAAUACACACACGGACACACACACAUACACACACUGACACACACACGGACACACACUAAAUACACACAUACACACACACACGGACACACACACGGAUACACACACAUACACACUCAUUACACACACACACACACACACACGGACACACUCAAUACACACAGAUACACACUCAUUACACACACACACACACACACACGGACACACUCAAUACACACAGAUACACACUCAAUACACACACACACGGACACACACUCAAUACACACACACACGGACACACACUAAAUACACACACACACGGACACACACUAAAUACACACACACACACGGACACACACUAAAUACAAACACACACGGACACACACAAUACAGACACGGGCACACACAAUGGACACACUCCAUACACACACACACGGACACACACACGGAUACACACACAUACACACUCAUUACACACACACACACACACACACGGACACACUCAAUACACACAGAUACACACUCAAUACACACACACACGGACACACACUCAAUACACACACACACGGACACACACUCAAUACACACACACACGG
ensembl:lncRNA